AGUGAACGCUGGCGGUAGGCCUAACACAUGCAAGUCGAACGGCAGCACAGUAAGAGCUUGCUCUUACGGGUGGCGAGUGGCGGACGGGUGAGGAAUACAUCGGAAUCUACUUUUUCGUGGGGGAUAACGUAGGGAAACUUACGCUAAUACCGCAUACGACCUACGGGUGAAAGCAGGGGAUCUUCGGACCUUGCGCGAUUGAAUGAGCCGAUGUCGGAUUAGCUAGUUGGCGGGGUAAAGGCCCACCAAGGCGACGAUCCGUAGCUGGUCUGAGAGGAUGAUCAGACACACUGGAACUGAGACACGGUCCAGACUCCUACGGGAGGCAGCAGUGGGGAAUAUUGGACAAAGGGCGCAAGCCUGAUCCAGCCAUACCGCGUGGGUGAAGAAGGCCUUCGGGUUGUAAAGCCCUUUUGUUGGGAAAGAAAAGCAGCAGGUUAAUACCCCGCUGUUCGGACGGUACCCAAAGAAUAAGCACCGGCUAACUUCGUG
rnacentral:rRNA from 1 species